rnacentral:rRNA from 1 species
GACGAACGCUGGCGGCGUGCUUAACACAUGCAAGUCGAGCGGAGUGGCGAACGGGUGUGUAACACGUGGGUGACCUGCCCUGCACUUCGUGAUAAGCCUGGGCAACUGGGUCUAAUACCGGAUAGUGUGGGAUGGGCGCGGGGCCAAUCAGCUUGUUGGUGGGGUAAUGGCCUACCAGGGCGGCGACGGGUAGCCGGCCUGGGAGGGGGGACGGCCACAUGGGGACUGAGGGACGGCGCAGACUCCUACGGGAGGCAGCGGGGGGGAAUAUGGCACAAUGGGGGGAAGCCUGAUGCAGCGGCGCCGGGUGGGGGAUGACGGCCUUCGGGUUGUGAACGCCUUUCACCAUCGACGCGGUAGAUGGAGAAGAAGCACCGGCUAACUACGUGCCAGCCGCCGCGGUAAUUC